CUUGUUAUACUCAAUCUCUUAUAGUUCUCUUCUCUUACAGCGACUGCCUCGCUGAUCUCACAAUUGUUAAAACGCUGUUAGCUACUUUAGCUUAGCCAUUAGCAAUGGCUAAUUCCUCUCCCUCUCCUGCUCUUUCUUGCUUGGUGUGUCAAAUGAUUAGCUAUUAUUCUGCCUCCUUUAGUGAUAAAGAUACAUGUAAUAAAUGUAGUUUAUUUGCUGCUCUGGAGGCGAGGCUUAGUGAGUUUGAGGCACACGGCUCCGCACCAUGGAAUCAAAAUCGUAUGCUUCCGUAGCUAGCCAGCGCCAUGCAGUUAAUGCUGG